UCCGGUUUGGCACCGGCAGUCCCCCUAGAGUGCCCGGCCCGGUCUCCCGGCCGCUGGUAACGAGGGGCGGGGGUUGCGCUCGUUGCGGGACUUAACCCAACAUCUCACGACACGAGCUGACGACAGCCAUGCACCACCUGUGCACGAGCCCCGAAGGGCUGCCGUGUUUCCACGACAUUCCCGUGCAUGUCAAGCCUAGGUAAGGUUCUUCGCGUUGCGUCGAAUUAAACCACAUGCUCCGCUGCUUGUGCGGGCCCCCGUCAAUUCCUUUGAGUUUCAUUCUUGCGAACGUACUCCCCAGGUGGGAUACUUAUCACUUUCGCUUAGCCACUGGGAUUGCUCCCAACA
rnacentral:misc_RNA from 1 species